ACGUUCCACGGUCGCCAUGUUGGCUAACUCUAACUAAAGAGCCUAAAGGAAAAGAGCUCUGCCAAUCUAACAUUAGCGUCAACGUGGUAGGAGUGGACGUCACACGCUAAACAAAUGCACGGCUUUGUUGUUGGGAAAACCUGCGAAUAGCCAACUAACUUAAAAAAAAAAUAGCGAUUUAUUUGAAUCGAUUAUACGUUACAGUUACGUACAAUCAGUUUUCACUCACUGGAGCAUAUUUCGUACCCUUUAUUGGAGACCGACGCCAUUUUUGUUGUGCUAAAUUUACGGAUUACUCAUUGGCUUGCAUGUCCUGCCAUUUGAUUUUCCAUUGGAGGCGUAUCUCCACCCAGUCCAGAGAUGCUAUCGCACUUCGGGUUGAAAACGAUUGGAAACCAGGAAAACACUUAAAUAAGUUCACAAAACCUGGAACUACCAUAUACUGUCUAUGGGAAGUACUGCUCGCAUCACAUUUCAAGUAGCCUAGUAUUAUUAGUGGUGAAGUGCUUGAAUGGUUUGCGGGUAUUAAGCAAGUAGUAAGUCUUAAGUCUUAAAGUAUCCAGCACAGAUAGAGACGGUUUUAAUAUAGAGGAUAUUUGCAGAUAGAGAAGAGUAAUUUAAGUUGCUCAGCACUGCCCAGGGAACAUGACCUUCGCACCAGAGCUGAGUUGUCCUACAAUCCCACUUUCCAAUGGUCUGCAGAUUCCGUUAUUUGGAUUAGGCACAUCACAUCAUGGCGGAUACUCCCAUGAAGCCAUUGUGUAUGCACUCACCGAGUGUGGCGUGCGCCACAUUGACACAGCGAAGCGCUACGGCUGCGAGAAGAAACUGGGUGACGCUAUCACAGAAAGUGGGAUACCACGAAGUGAUCUGUGGGUCACCAAUAAACUGUGGCAUGGGGACUAUGGCUACAAAGCCGCAAAGAAGGCGUGCCUUGACUCCUGCUCGCAGAUGGGGGUGGAAUAUUUUGAUCUGUACCUGAUGCACUGGCCAGAGUCAUCGCGACCUGGUUGCUCCAACAGGGAGAUGAGAGCUGAGACUUGGAGAGCUUUGGAGGAACUGUAUAAAGAAGGGCUGUGCUGUGCUAUUGGAGUGAGCAACUUCUUGGUCCAUCACCUGGAAGAGUUAAAGGAAGACUGUACUGUCGUGCCACAUGUCAACCAGGUGGAGUACCAUCCUUUCCAGCAGCCCAAUCACCUGAUGGAGUACUGUCGUCAGGAGGGAAUUGUGUUUGAAGGGUACAGUCCUCUGGCCAAGGGUCAAGUCCUCAGCAACCCGACUGUUCUCCAGAUAGCAGAAAAACACAGCCGCACACCUGCUCAGAUCUGCAUCCGCUGGAGUAUUCAGAAUGGAGUUGUUACAAUCCCCAAAUCUACGAAAAAGAAGAGGAUUCAAGAAAACUGUCAAGUGUUUGGGUUUCAGCUGGAGGAGUCGGACAUGGCCGCUUUGGGAGGAUUACAUGAUGGAAGACAUGUGUCUUGGGAUCCAACAAAUGAUUUCCUAGAUGGGCAGGGCACUUUAAACAUACCCAUUCAUUGACUUUAAAAGCUUCAUUUGCAGUCUUCCAAGAAACCAUGUCUUCUGCAAAAGACUUUUCCCACAGGGAAACUUUCAAACAGGGUGCAAAUGCCAAUACUUGGAAUAGGCACAUCCCAAGUCGGAGGAUUCUCUCAAGAGACUGUUCUGCAUGCUGUCUGUGAGUGUGGCGGGUAGAGAAGCCAAGACACA